rnacentral:rRNA from 1 species
AUUUACGGCCAUACGACACUGAAUGUGCCUGAUCUCGUCUGAUCUCAGUAGUCUUGCUGUUACUGAAAGUUUUGAGCCUUGAACU